GGUCGAAAGGGGAAAUUCAUUCGCGUUUCGAUUGCGGAGUUGUGCGUUGUCGUGCGACGAGAACGGCGCGUUAGUGCCGUUCACGCGCCCUUCGUUCGACCGGCCGCGAUCGAACGCGUGCACUUUUCCCCUUGUAGGACGUCGCGAUCCGUUGGGUGUUUAUCUAAGGGUCGGGGUGGAGCCCGCGAGAGGCGUUCACGCGCUCUCUUCUCGCGGACCCCCGAUUUUUAUGUCGAUAAACUCGCUCGACGGUAUCGAAAAGGGGCGCGAGGCCGCUGAUGGUCGGUUCUCGUCCGCGUGAAUAUAAAGCGCGGACGGCCGAUCCGAAUUAGCGUUCGGCCCGUAGCAAGCACGUACCGUACGCUCUUUGAGUCGACGGCGAUCGGACCCAGUGCCGAUUCUGUCGCGGGACGACUGUUGGCUUACGGUGUUCUCGAACAGACCUCGA
rnacentral:rRNA from 1 species